rnacentral:lncRNA from 1 species
AUGAUCGAUUUAAAAAUACCCAAACUUUUAGAUCUAAGUCAAUUUUUAGAUUAUACAUGUCAAAAAAAAUUAGUGGCUCUGAUACCACUGUAAUAAUAUGGGUAGGAUUGCAUGCGUAGAUUUCAAAACUAAUUUUGAAAUGGUGGAAUCAAUCUAGGUUAAACCCUUUAACCCCACAUAUAAUAGAUCAGAUCUAAAACUACCCCCACCCA